UACGUAGGUGGCAAGCGUUGUCCGGAUUUACUGGGCGUAAAGAGCGCGCAGGCGGUCGUUCAAGUCGCGUGUGAAAGCCCCCGGCUCAACUGGGGAGGGUCACGCGAUACUGAUCGACUCGAAGGCAGGAGAGGGUAGUGGAAUUCCCGGUGUAGUGGUGAAAUGCGUAGAUAUCAGGAGGAACACCGGUGGCGAAGGCGGGUCUCUGGGCCGAUACUGACGCUGAGGAGCGAAAGCGUGGGGAGCAAACAGG
rnacentral:rRNA from 1 species